rnacentral:rRNA from 1 species
CCUACGAGUGGCUGCAGUGGGGAAUAUUGCGCAAUGGGCGAAAGCCUGAACCAGCCAAGUAGCGUGAAGGAUGACUGCCCUACGGGUUGUAAACUUCUUUUAUAAAGGAAUAAAGUGAGGCACGUGUGCCUUUUUGUAUGUACUUUAUGAAUAAGGAUCGGCUAACUCCGUGCCAGCAGCCGCGGUAAUACGGAGGAUCCGAGCGUUAUCCGUAUUUAUUGGGUUUAACGGGAGCGUAGAUGGGUUGUUAAGUCAGUUGUGAAAGUUUGGGGCUCAACCGUAAAAGUGCAAUUGAUACUGGCAGUCUUGAGUACAGUUGAGGUAGGCGGAAUUCGUGGUGUAGCGGUGAAAUGCUUAGAGAUCACGAAGAACUCCGAUUGCGAAGGCAGCUUACUAAACUGCCACUGACAUUGAUGCUCGAAAGUGUGGGUAGCAAACAGGAUUAGAUACCCCUGUAGUC